UAUCUUGAUCCGACAAUUCAAUUUUUUUAAAAUUUAUAUUUAACAUAGAUUCUAUCUUUAAGCUUUAUUACAAAAAAAAUGAACUAUAAAUCUACUAUCAAUCUUUUGGUAUUUUAGAAAUCCUAACAGGUGCUCUAAAUCCUAAUCUACAAGCAUCUAAAAAUUAUUUUCCUUAUAUCUCAAAAACCUAAAAUCCAAAUGCCACAAAACUUAUAUACAAAGUUUUAUUACAUAAAAAUACACAUUUCUGAAAAUUUUUAGCCAAAAUCUUAUCAAAUUACAUAAGAAAUAGCUCAAAACACAACCACUAGUAAUUCGGAUUACUUACUACCCUUAGAUUUGCAA
rnacentral:lncRNA from 1 species